GGAAGCCACCAGCUGAUACUCUGAGAUCCUGUAAGAAGAAGAUUAGCCUGAGCUAACACCGGUGCCCAUCUUCCUCCACUUUAUAUGUGGGAUGCCUGCCUCAGCAUGGCUUGACAAGUGCUGCAUAGGUCCAUAUCCGGGAUCUGAACCGGCGAACCCCAGGCCGCUGAAGUGGAAUGUGUGAAUUUAAUUGCUGCACCACCAGGCCUGCCCCUCACCUCACACUCUUGGUGGCUGCUGCACAUGGUUCAAAGUGGCUAUUCCAGAUUAAGCAUCAAAAAUUUAAGACGUGUAAUGCAGUUCAAUAGGUGGUAUUGCUUGUAUUGCUUCGAAUCCUAAUGUUUUCUUUCGGGUCCUAGGCCCAGAGCCGGGCUGAUAUGCUUGGAUGGAUUAAGUUUAUGAUAAACUGACCAACUGGAGAAUCCAGCUGCAUGUUACAUGGACACUCCAGCAGCCCUGUAAUCCAGCUGCAUGCUAUAUGGACACUCCAGCAGCCCUGUAAUCCAGCUGCAUGCUAUAUGGACACUCCAGCAGCCCUGUAAUCCAGCUGCAUGCUAUAUGGACACUCCAGCAGCCCUGUAAUCCAGCUGCAUGCUAUAUGGACACUUCAGCAGCCCUGUAAUCCAGCUGCAUGCUAUAUGGACACUCCAGCAGCCCUGUAAUCCAGCUGCAUGCUAUAUGGACACUCCAGCAGCCCUGUAAUCCAGCUGCAUGCUAUAUGGACACUCC
rnacentral:lncRNA from 1 species